rnacentral:rRNA from 1 species
GAUGAACGCUGGCGGCGUGCCUAAUACAUGCAAGUCGAGCGAACGGACGAGAAGCUUGCUUCUCUGAUGUUAGCUGCGGACGGGUGAGUAACACGUGGAUAACCUACCUAUAAGACUGGGAUAACUUCGGGAAACCGUAGCUAAUACCGGAUAAUAUUUUGAACCGCAUGGUUCAAAAGUGAAAGACGGUCUUGCUGUCACUUAUAGAUGGAUCCGCGCUGCAUUAGCUAGUUGGUAAGGUAACGGCUUACCAAGGCAACGAUGCAUAGCCGACCUGAGAGGGUGAUCGGCAACACUGGAACUGAGAAACGGUCAAGACUCCUACGGGAGGAAGCAGUAGGGAAUCUUCCGCAAUGGGCGAAAGCCUGACGGAGAAACGCCGCGUGAGUGAUGAAGGUCUUCGGAUCGUAAAACUCUGUUAUUAGGGAAGAACAUAUGUGUAAGUAACUGUGCACAUCUUGACGGUACCUAAUCAGAAAGCCACGGCUAACUACGUG